AGCAAGAUAAUCACACCGAUAUGGCGAAAAAGAGGAGAAAUGGUAACUUUUUUCCUGCUGCUAGAACAAAAGAGACCAAAAUAAUAAUACAAGCUUUCUUUACCGGUAACCAAUAUUCCAUAAGAUAAGUAACUCUACUCGUCUUGCAGGGAUACACAUUGCUAACAUUUUGUAGAUAAGUGGCAAUCUCGGUAGUUAGAGUAGCAAAAUUAAAUAAUCCCAAUUUUUGUAUGUGUAAGAGAGAGAUACAAUGAACCGUUCAAAAAUCGCCGCCAUGGCCGCUGUUCAUUUCAAAAUAAAAUUUUUAGUGAAUGGAUUUAUACGUGUGUGCACAGCAAAGGGAGAGCAAGGAGGUGACGGUGGAAUUGGUGGAGGUUUUUGGAUUUAGCAUUGGUGCAAUAUAGUAUAACAACAACGCAGAAAACCAUGGAAAAUAACAUGAUAGUGAAAACACAAAUCUUCUUCUGCUUACGCGGUUAUAGCCGAGUCCACAACAGCGCGCCACGCAUCUCUUCUUUUGGCAGUUUGGCGCCAAUUGGUAAUACCCAGUGAAGACAGGUCCUUCUCCACCUGGUCUUUCCAUCCUCUUCCUCGGCUUCCACCAGCGGGUACUGCAUCGAAAACUUUCAGAGCUGGGGCUCUUUCGUCCAUUCGAAGAACAUGACCCAGCCAGCGUAGCCGCUGAUUUUUUAUUUGCUGGACUAUGCCUAUGUUGUCGAACAACGUAUACAGCUCAUCAUUUCAUAUUUUGCGGUAUUCGCCGUUGCCAAUGUUGAAGGGACCAUAAAUCUUCCGCAAAACAUUUCUCUCGAAAACUCCUAGUGCCGUCUCAUCGGAUGUUGACAUCGUCCACGCUUCUGCACCAUAAAGUAGGACGGGAAUGAUGAGAGACUUGUAAAGUUUAGUUUUUGCUCAUCGAGAGAGGACUUUACUUUUCAAUUGCCUACUCAGACCAUAAACACAAAUACUUUGCACAAAUGGAGGAUUACAAUAGCUACAACUUUUCUUAGGCAUGAUAAACAAGACAACAACAAAUCCCAUCGGUCAUUUAGAUUAGCAGUAUGAUGUACAUAGGGGAUAGGAUUGUCUGGAAUUGACAUCAAACAAUAUUGGUUCAUUAGGUUCGUUGGAUCCUUACAUGAUAGUUAUAAGGAAAUCGUUCGCGUUUAGUAUUAAUUUAUUCAUUUGCUAAUUCAUAAUUUAUAUGUAUACAAUUCUAAUUUAUAAAUGU